rnacentral:tRNA from 1 species
CGGGGUGUAGCUCAGACAGCAGAGCAUCCGCCUGAUAUGCGGAAGGCCGGUGGUGCAAUUCCACCUGCCCCGA